CCUACGGGGGCUGCAGUGGGGAAUAUUGGACAAUGGGCGAAAGCCUGAUCCAGCCAUGCCGCGUGUGUGAAGAAGGCCUUCGGGUUGUAAAGCACUUUCAGUGGGGAAGAAAGCCUUGGGGCUAAUACCCUCGAGGAAGGACAUCACCCACAGAAGAAGCACCGGCUAACUCCGUGCCAGCAGCCGCGGUAAUACGGAGGGUGCGAGCGUUAAUCGGAAUUACUGGGCGUAAAGCGCGCGUAGGCGGUCUGAUAAGCCGGUUGUGAAAGCCCCGGGCUCAACCUGGGAACGGCAUCCGGAACUGUCAGGCUAGAGUGCAGGAGAGGAAGGUAGAAUUCCCGGUGUAGCGGUGAAAUGCGUAGCGAUCGGGAGGAAUACCAGUGGCGAAGGCGGCCUUCUGGACUGACACUGACGAUGCGGUGCGAAAGCGUGGGUAGCAAACAGGAUUAGAUACCCGAGUAGUC
rnacentral:rRNA from 1 species